CGCACAAGCGGUGGAGCAUGUGGUUUAAUUCGAAGCAACGCGAAGAACCUUACCAAAUCUUGACAUCCUUUGACAACUCUAGAGAUAGAGCCUUCCCCUUCGGGGGACAAAGUGACAGGUGGUGCAUGGUUGUCGUCAGCUCGUGUCGUGAGAUGUUGGGUUAAGUCCCGCAACGAGCGCAACCCUUAAGCUUAGUUGCCAUCAUUAAGUUGGGCACUCUAAGUUGACUGCCGGUGACAAACCGGAGGAAGGUGGGGAUGACGUCAAAUCAUCAUGCCCCUUAUGAUUUGGGCUACACACGUGCUACAAUGGACAAUACAAAGGGCAGCGAAACCGCGAGGUCAAGCAAAUCCCAUAAAGUUGUUCUCAGUUCGGAUUGUAGUCUGCAACUCGACUACAUGAAGCUGGAAUCGCUAGUAAUCGUAGAUCAGCAUGCUACGGUGAAUACGUUCCCGGGUCUUGUACACACCGCCCGUCACACCACGAGAGUUUGUAACACCCGAAGCCGGUGGAGUAACCUUUUAGGAGCUAGCCGUCGAAGGUGGGACAAAUGAUUGGGGUGAAGUCGUAACAAGGUAGCCGUAUCGGAAGGUGCGGCU
rnacentral:rRNA from 1 species